CAGAGCGUGAGGCUCAGUCGUGGCGUCAGCUGCGUGCUGGNCCGACCCUCCCACCCGUGUCGAUUUCUAUCUUGUUGCUUUGGCGGGCCGGGCUACGUCGUCGCUGCCCGUACGGAC
rnacentral:misc_RNA from 1 species